GAAAACAAAGUUCAUAGAAUGUUAAAUUGUGAUUUUAAAGGGUACUGUUUUCU
rnacentral:tRNA from 1 species